GAGGAAGGCGUUGUAUAAUAACUGCAGCGAUUGACGUUACUCGCAGAAGAAGCACCGGCUAACUCCGUGCCAGGCCGCGGUAAUACGGAGGGUGCAAGCGUUAAUCGGAAUUACUGGGCGUAAAGCGCACGGGCGGUUUGUUAAGUCAGAUGUGAAAUCCCCGAGCUUAACUUGGGAACUGCAUUUGAAUGGCAAGCUAGAGUCUUGUAGAGGGGGGUAGAAUUCCAGGUGUAGCGGUGAAAUGCGUAGAUCUGGAGGAAUACCGGUGGCGAAGGCGGCCCCCUGGACAAAGACUGACGCUCAGGCGAAAGCGUGGGGAGCAAACAGGAUUAGAUACCCUGGUAGUCCACGCUGUAAACGAAUCGAUUUGGAGGUUGUGGGCUUGACCCGUGGCUCCGGAGCUAACGCGUAAAUCGACCGC
rnacentral:rRNA from 1 species